GAACCGUACGAACGUUAUUCGGAAUCACUGGGCUUAAAGGGUGCGUAGGCGGCUCGGCAAGUUGGGUGUGAAAUCCCUCGGCUCAACCGAGGAACUGCGCUCAAAACUGCCGAGCUAGAGGGAGACAGAGGUGAGCGGAACUUAGGGUGGAGCGGUGAAAUGCGUUGAUAUCCUAAGGAACACCAGUAGCGAAAGCGGCUCACUGGGUCUCUUCUGACGCUGAGGCACGAAAGCUGGGGGAGCGAACGGGGGAUUAGAUACCCCGGUAGUCCUAGCUGUAAACGAUGAGCACUGGGUCGGAGGAUCCUCCAUAGUUUUCCGGCCGUAGCGAAAGUGUUAAGUGCUCCGCCUGGGGAGUAUGGUCGCAAGGCUG
rnacentral:rRNA from 1 species